rnacentral:rRNA from 1 species
GACGAACGCUGGCGGCGUGCCUAAUACAUGCAAGUUGAGCGAUGAAGAUUGGUGCUUGCACCAAUUUGAAGAGCAGCGAACGGGUGAGUAACGCGUGGGGAAUCUGCCUUUGAGCGGGGGACAACAUUUGGAAACGAAUGCUAAUACCGCAUAACAACUUUAAACAUAAGUUUUAAGUUUGAAAGAUGCAAUUGCAUCACUCAAAGAUGAUCCCGCGUUGUAUUAGCUAGUUGGUGAGGUAAAGGCUCACCAAGGCGAUGAUACAUAGCCGACCUGAGAGGGUGAUCGGCAACAUUGGGACGGAGACACGGCCCAAACUCCUACGGGAGGCAGCAGUAGGGAAUCUUCGGCAAUGGACGAAAGUCUGACCGAGCAACGCCGCGUGAGUGAAGAAGGUUUUCGGAUCGUAAAACUCUGUCGGUAGAGAAGAACGUUGGUGAGAGUGGAAAGCUCAUCAAGUGACGGUAACUACCCAGAAAGGGACGGCUAACUACGUG